GCCGACUUAGCUCAGUGGUAGAGUGCUUCCUUGGUAAGGAAGAGGUCACGGGUUCAAAUCCCGUAGUUGGCUCUA
rnacentral:tRNA from 1 species